UUGGAGGGCAAGUCUGGUGCCAGCAGCCGCGGUAAUUCCAGCUCCAAUAGCGUAUAUUAAAGUUGUUGCAGUUAAAAAGCUCGUAGUUGAAUUUCGGGGUCAGUAGUUUGGUCGUGCCACUGGUAUGUACUGGGCUCACUGAUUCCUCCUUCCUGAUGAACUGUAAUGCCAUUAAUUUGGUGUUGCAGGGAAACUGGACUGUUACUUUGAAAAAAUUAGAGUGUUUAAAGCAGGCUAACGCUUGAAUACAUUAGCAUGGAAUAAUGAAAUAGGACGUUCGAUCCUAUUUUGUUUGUUUCUAGGAUUGACGUAAUGAUUAAUAGGGAUAGUUGGGGGCAUUAGUAUUCAAUUGUCAGAGGUGAAAUUCUUGGAUUUAUUGAAGACUAACUACUGCGAAAGCAUUUGCCAAGGAUGUUUUCAUUAAUCAAGAACGAAAGUUAGGGGAUCGAAGACGAUCAGAUACCGUCGUAGUCUUAACCAUAAACUAUGCCGACUAGGGAUCGGAUGAUAUUAAUUUUUUAAUGACUCAUUCGGCGCCUUACGGGAAAC
rnacentral:rRNA from 1 species